rnacentral:rRNA from 1 species
UACGGGGGGGGCAAGCGUUGUUCGGAAUUACUGGGCGUAAAGGGCUUGUAGGUGGCCAACUAAGUCAGACGUGAAAUCCCUCGGCUUAACCGGGGAACUGCGUCUGAUACUGGAUGGCUUGAGUGUGGGAGAGGGAUGCGGAAUUCCAGGUGUAGCGGUGAAAUGCGUAGAUAUCUGGAGGAACACCGGUGGCGAAGGCGGCAUCCUGGACCGUUACUGACACUGAAAAGCGAAAGCCAGGGGAGCAAACGGG